CCUACGGGGGACUGCAGUGAGGAAUAUUGGUCAAUGGGCGGGAGCCUGAACCAGCCAAGCCGCGUGAGGGAAGAAGGUCCAGCGUAUCGUAAACCUCUUUUGUCGGGGAACAAAGGCGGGGACUAGUCCCCUGCUGCGUGUACCUUACGAACAAGCAUCGGCUAACUCCGUGCCGGCAGCCGCGGUAAUACGGAGGAUGCGAGCGUUAUCCGGAUUGAUUGGGUUAAACGGGUGCGUAGGCGGGGCGUUAAGUCAGUGGUCAAAUUGAGGGGCUCAACCCCUUCCCGCCAUUGAAACUGGCGCUCUUGAGUGGAAGAGAAGUAGGCGGAACGCGUGGUGUAGCGGUGAAAUGCAUAGAUAUCACGCAGAACCCCGAUUGCGAAGGCAGCAUGCCGGCUUCCUACUGACGCUGAAGCACGAAAGCGUGGGGAUCGAACAGGAUUAGAUACCCCAGUAGUC
rnacentral:rRNA from 1 species